UUGGUGAACCAGCGGAGGGAUCAUUACCGAGUUUACAACUCCCAAACCCAAUGUGAACGUUACCAAACUGUUGCCUCGGCGGGGUCACGCCCCGGGUGCGUCGCAGCCCCGGAACCAGGCGCCCGCCGGAGGAACCAACCAAACUCUUUCUGUAGUCCCCUCGCGGACGUAUUUCUUACAGCUCUGAGCAAAAAUUCAAAAUGAAUCAAAACUUUCAACAACGGAUCUCUUGGUUCUGGCAUCGAUGAAGAACGCAGCGAAAUGCGAUAAGUAAUGUGAAUUGCAGAAUUCAGUGAAUCAUCGAAUCUUUGAACGCACAUUGCGCCCGCCAGUAUUCUGGCGGGCAUGCCUGUCCGAGCGUCAUUUCAACCCUCGAACCCCUCCGGGGGAUCGGCGUUGGGGAUCGGGACCCCUCACACGGGUGCCGGCCCCUAAAUACAGUGGCGGUCUCGCCGCAGCCUCUCCUGCGCAGUAGUUUGCACAACUCGCACCGGGAGCGCGGCGCGUCCACGUCCGUAAAACACCCAACUUUCUGAAAUGUUGACCUCGGAUCAGGUAGGAAUACCCGCUGAACUUAAGCAUAUCAA
rnacentral:rRNA from 1 species